rnacentral:lncRNA from 1 species
GAAACCCUAAAUCCCUAUGCUGACCUAAGCCUAAACCUAAACCCUGACCUUGGUUCUUUAGAAACCCAAGCCUUAGUUCAUCCAUAGGAACUAGAAACCCUAGUUUUUCUAAGAAACCUUGGCUACCAAAUCUCAUAAAGAAGAUCAUCCUUUUGUUAAGCCCUAAUACCAUAAACCUUAGAUUUUCAGGAGCCUCUUCAAUCCAUUGCAGUCAAGAUCAAGAUAAUCAACUAUUUCAAUAGAAAAAUGAACGAUUUAAUCAUCAAUAAAGUUCUGAUCAAGGUUCUUAUUUCAGGUGCCGAACAAGGAGGCCCCAACCGUUUGCAAGUUAUUCAUUUCUUGUCUAUUUUCUAGUUUUGCAGUAGUUUCUUUGAUUUUCAAUAUUUUAUUUGUUUUUAGUAUUUUAUAUAGUUCUCUCGGUCUUAAUGCACAUACAGUAGGUGCUGCCAACGAUCCAAAGAGGAUUUGAUCUCUUCAUUGAGAUCUAACCUUUGGGUUAGAACCUAACUAGGCCCCACUUAAUCUCAAAUAACUAAGUAUGCAAUGUGUUUGAGCUAGAUCUGUCAUCAGAUCACCGAAUUCUGCUAUAUACAGUUUGGCGCCCACCAUGGGGCUCGUUAAGUUGUAAACGCCUCAAAAUCGUCUCUAGAAAUUUCUUGAUUAGACAAUCAAAGAUAUUCCAAAGAGUUGCAGACAAACCGAAAAGCAGCCCGGUAUGCUACAGGCCCUCCUCGAGCCUGUUAGCCAUCUGCGCUAGGAUCAACAACGUAGAGCAUACAUUGUUCUCGCUACAUCUUUCGACGUUGAUGGCAACGACCUCAAAACCUCUUUGGAGGUCUGCUCCUUAAGAGUAAUUCUUGUUUGAUCAGUCUUGCUCCUUGUUUUUGGUUUUCUUUUAUGUUUUAGUUGCAUAGAUAGUUGCUUGCUUAGUUUAGUUUCUAGCAUUACUUUAGCACAACAAUCUUUUAU